rnacentral:lncRNA from 1 species
AGUAAAGUUCAAAUUGCUAUUAUCAUCAAUCAAUAAGAUCAUUGUUCGAAUUUACACAGUAUUGAGGCAUUCACUGACCACAAUUACAGUAAUUAGCAACAAACAUGAAAAUUAAGACUUGAUGGUACAGAGCAAAAACUCAGAUCAAAUAAUACUGGGAGCUGAAAAUGUACAACCAAAAACAGUACAACACCAUAUGAAUUUGAUCAUAGCUAUUCUAUUUGUCUUGCCUAUGCUCUCUUGUCACCGGUUGCAUACGACAGCUCUAUUGGCUCAAUAGAUUUCCCAGCAUCUGAUAGGAAAUCAUACUUGAGGAAACUAAGUUACUUGUAUUUUGAAGGCAAAACACCAAGAAAGUCUCAGCUGAUCUUAGGCUUGGCUCUUCUAGGCUUUAGCACAAGCCAAAGAACAAAGAAAACAACUAGGAAAGCAGGUAUCAUAUAUUGUCAUGUCAAACUCGACUUUAACAUUCCUCUGCCGGAUGCAAUAUUUUAAUGGAGACUGUCUAGAGUUGUAUCAAUAUAAUUUACGAACCUGCAUAAUAGACAAGAUCAUUUUAGCAAACAAGUUGAGAGAAACACGUGUUGAGUGAAAAGUGAAGACACUUUUGCAUGCCAAAUUAAUGUUGCUUAAUGCUUGCUAAGCAUCGUCCUCGAUAAAAUAUCAUAUAAACGUGUGACUCCCAUAUGCAGUAAAUCAAGGUAUUCUACUAUGUACUAUCUCAAAUUGGUUACACAUGUAAGUGCAAGACUAACAAUAAGGAUGUCAUCACUCAUCAGGUAGGGGUAAGUGUAGUGCAGCACAUCAGUGAUUGUCACACAACAAACGAAAGAUGCUAACCCUUUUACCGCAUCCUCUAAGGUAUGGACAAGUCUCAAGGCAUCCACAUAACA